rnacentral:rRNA from 1 species
AGUGAACGCUGGCGGUAGGCCUAACACAUGCAAGUCGAACGGCAGCACAGUAAGAGCUUGCUCUUACGGGUGGCGAGUGGCGGACGGGUGAGGAAUACAGCGGAAUCUACUUUUUCGUGGGGGAUAACGUAGGGAAACUUACGCUAAUACCGCAUACGACCUACGGGUGAAAGCAGGGGAUCUUCGGACCUUGCGCGAUUGAAUGAGCCGAUGUCGGAUUAGCUAGUUGGCGGGGUAAACGCCCACCAAGGAGACGAUCCGUAGCUGGUCUGAGAGGAUGGUCAGCCACACGGGAACUGAGACACGGCCCAGACUCCUACGGGAGGCAGCAGUGGGAAAUAUUGGACAAUGGGCGCAAGCCUGAUCCAGCCAUACCGCGUGGGUGAAGAAGGCCUUCGGGUUGUAAAGCCCUUUUGUUGGGAAAGAAAAGCAGCAGGUUAAUACCCCGCUGUUCUGACGGUACCAAAAGAAUAAGCACCGGCUAACUUCGU